UACGUAGGGCGCAAGCGUUGUCCGGAAUUAUUGGGCGUAAAGAGCUCGUAGGCGGCUUGUCACGUCGAUUGUGAAAGCCCGAGGCUUAACCUCGGGUCUGCAGUCGAUACGGGCUAGCUAGAGUGUGGUAGGGGAGAUCGGAAUUCCUGGUGUAGCGGUGAAAUGCGCAGAUAUCAGGAGGAACACCGAUGGCGAAGGCAGGUCUCUGGGCCACUACUGACGCUGAGAAGCGAAAGCGUGGGGAGCGAACAGG
rnacentral:rRNA from 1 species